rnacentral:rRNA from 1 species
CCUACGGGUGGCAGCAGUGGGGGAUAUUGCACAAUGGGGGGAACCCUGAUGCAGCGACGCCGCGUGGGUGAAGAAGCGCCUCGGCGCGUAAAGCCCUGUCAGCAGGGAAGAACAUGACGGUACCUGAUGAAGAAGCCACGGCUAACUACGUGCCAGCAGCCGCGGUAAUACGUAGGGGGCAAGCGUUAUCCGGAUGUACUGGGUGUAAAGGAGGGGCAGACGGCGAUGCAAGCCAGGAGUGAAAGCCCGGGGCCCAACCCCGGGACUGCUCUUGGAACUGCGUGGCUGGAGUGCAGGAGGGGCAGGCGGAAUGCCUGGUGUAGCGGUGAAGUGCAUAGA